rnacentral:sRNA from 1 species
UUUUACACACUUCUUUUUAAGGCAAAUGGCAGUGUUUCCAACUGUGAAGAGACAAAGGUGCUUAUUUUGUGUGUUCGCCUCAGUUUAGUAUUGGCACUUCCAAUGCUUGUUUUCCUAGUCUGUAAAAUGGGGAUAAUUAGGAUAAACAAAAUUAUCCCCAUUUUACAGGUGACAAAACAGCCUCAGAGAGGUUACUUCCAGAAGGAAGCAGAGCUUUUUUUUUUUUUUUUAGACGGAGUCUCACUCUGUUGCCCAGACUGGAGUGCAGUGUCGCGAUCUUGGCUCACCACCACCUCUGCCUCCCAGGUUCAAGCGAUUCUCUUGCCUCAGCCUUCUGAGUAGCUGGGACUACAGACGCCCACCACUGCACCCAGCUAAUUUUUGUAUUUUUAGUAGAGAUGGGGUUUCACCAUGUUGGUCAGGCUGGUCUCGAACCCCAAACCUCGUGAUCCACUUGCCUCGGCCUCCCAAAGUGCAGGGAUUACAGGCGUGAGCCACCGUGCCUGGCCAGAAGUAGAGCUUCUAAGAGGCAGGUGUCAAACCCAGGCCAGUCAGACUCUGAAACCUGAGGUCUGAAU